rnacentral:lncRNA from 10 species
CCCUGCUAUUGCUGUACAGGAGCUGCUGGAGCCCAGAAAAAUAGAGAACCAGAGCUGCUCAUCUUGCAGAUGGACAGAGGAGAGCCAGGGCAUGGCCUGCCUGGACGUGGCAUGCACUCUGGUCCCCAGAGAGAGAGUAGCACUGUGUCUGGAAUUGGAGCAAAAAGGGAAUUCAGAGGACAUCCUAAUGAAAAAUGAAAAUGGAUCAUCACACAAGUAGCUUAUUAUGAGAUGUAAAACCCCAUGAAAAAUUAAUAUAAUAUUUCUCAAGCAGGGUAAGUUGUGUGUAUGUUUUAAUAAUCCAGAACACAUGGAUAUUUUACAUCCAACUAGAAGGCAGAGAUGUAAGGUGAAAGUGACCUUGUAAUAAGGAAGAAUUCACGUAUGGCUGCAGGAUGCUUGAGUGAGCAGACUAACUGGUGACUGAAAUUAGAAAACCCUUCCAAUCAGUGUGAGGUAGAGAGAGCAUAUAUUGACAGAAUGACUGAAAUGACAUUGACAGCCAGUAGGUCUCAGGCUGCUCACACAUAAGUAAGCCUACAUGGGUAUCUUGGUGAAAGAAAUUACUUAUCAUUUUAUUUUAGUUUUUGAAGAGAGGAAGAGCGCAGAGAAAAGGUGUGUUUC